rnacentral:rRNA from 1 species
GAGUGAACGCUGGCGGCAGGCCUAACACAUGCAAGUCGAGCGGCAGCGGGGUCCCCGCGAGGGGAUGCCGGCGAGCGGCGGACGGGUGAGGAACACAUCGGAAUCUGCCUGGUUGUGGGGGAUAACGUAGGGAAACUUACGCUAAUACCGCAUGCGACCCUGAGUCGACGGACUGGGGGUGAAAGUGAGGGACCUUCGGGCCUCACGCGACCAGAUGAGCCGAUGUCGGAUUAGCUAGUUGGCGGGGUAACGGCCCGCCAAGGCGACGAUCCGUAGCUGGUCUGAGAGGAUGAUCAGCCACACUGGGACUGGAGACACGGCCCAGACUCCUACGGGAGGCAGC